rnacentral:tRNA from 1 species
GGUACGGUGGUCUAGCGGUUAGAACGCUGGCCUUGUAAUCCUGGAGUCUCGGGUUCGAUUCCCGGCGGUGCCC